rnacentral:rRNA from 1 species
UACAGAGGUCCCAAGCGUUGUUCGGAUUCAUUGGGCGUAAAGGGUGCGUAGGCGGCGCCGUAAGUCGGAUGUGAAAUCUCGGGGCUCAACCCCGAAACUGCAUUCGAUACUGCGGUGCUAGAGGACUCUAGAGGAAACUGGAAUUCACGGUGUAGCAGUGAAAUGCGUAGAUAUCGUGAGGAAGACCAGUGGCGAAGGCGGGUUUCUGGAGAGUUCCUGACGCUGAGGCACGAAGGCCAGGGAGCAAACGGG